rnacentral:lncRNA from 1 species
CCGCAGAGGAAGAAGAAGAAGCAUGGGCGCGAUGGUAAUGGCAGUUUACACUGUGGAAGAUGAAAAAAAUAAGGGCACAAUAGUAUUUCACUAAUCUGACGUGGCUUUCCUCUCUAACCACUCUACUUUCUCUUCAUAUUUGGGAGGAUCCGAAAAUCACCCAUGUUUCCACUCAAUCUCACCCUCACCUUCACUCUCUCACGGAACCAAACGGGGGUGGCACUCUUAAAUCCGUCUGCGCUACAGUGCCACCCCUUGAUCCAAACAGGCA